CUUCUUCCUUGAUUGGUUUAUCAAAAAUUGAUUCUUCUCCUCUCUGAUAUUCUUUACCGAAUUUGUUUGGUAUAUCCAGUUUAUUUGGAAUUUGGUGAUCAUGUGAAAUUUGAUGAUUUGGUCUCUCUCUCUCUCUCUUCUGCUUCAUCUUCUUCUCUGCAUUUGGUUUGAUAUAUCCUUAGUUCAUGGGAUUGGACAUUUGGUUUGGUAUUGGUCCAGUUAUCUGAAAUUUGAUUUGUUAUUUGGUCCAGUGUAUCUGGAAUUUGGAAUUUCGAAUGUUUGGAUUUUGGAAUUGGUAUGUCAUGUCAAUUGGAAUUUGAAAUUUGCAUUCAGUUCAAUUGGCAUUUCUCCUCUCCCGGUUUCUUUUCUGGCGUUGUCUUCUUCUUGCAUCUGGCUAUCUUCUUCUACUGCAUCUAUGCUGCUCUUCUUGUUGUGGUUCUUCUAUUGAAGGCUUUCCCUUCAUCUACAUCAAUUUGGAAGAUUCGACUUGAUCGAUUUAUUUUUCAAACUCAAUAUGAUUGUCAUUAGACCAUAUUGAGUUUGAGGGAGGGUGUUAAAGAUAUGGAAAAUAUUGUUGAGAAUAAUAUCUAUUAUAUUUUUCCUUUUAGUGUAGG
rnacentral:lncRNA from 1 species